rnacentral:rRNA from 1 species
CCUACGGGUGGCAGCAGUGGGGAAUAUUGGGCAAUGGGCGCAAGCCUGACCCAGCAACGCCGCGUGAAGGAAGAAGGCUUUCGGGUUGUAAACUUCUUUUCUCAGGGACGAAGCAAGUGACGGUACCUGAGGAAUAAGCCACGGCUAACUACGUGCCAGCAGCCGCGGUAAUACGUAGGUGGCAAGCGUUAUCCGGAUUUACUGGGUGUAAAGGGCGUGUAGGCGGGAAAGCAAGUCAGAUGUGAAAACCAUGGGCUCAACCUGUGGCCUGCAUUUGAAACUGUUUGUCUUGAGAACUGGAGAGGCAGACGGAAUGCCUAGUGUAGCGGUGAAAUGCGUAGAUAUUAGGAGGAACACCAGUGGCGAAGGCGGUCUGCUGGACAGCAACUGACGCUGAGGCGCGAAAGCGUGGGGAGCAAACAGGAUUAGAUACCCUUGUAGUC